rnacentral:rRNA from 1 species
CCUACGGGUGGCAGCAGUGAGGAAUAUUGGUCAAUGGGCGGAAGCCUGAACCAGCCAAGUAGCGUGCAGGAUGACGGCCCUACGGGUUGUAAACUGCUUUUAUACGGGAAUAACGCGCCUUACGUGUAGGGCUUUGCAUGUACCGUAUGAAUAAGGACCGGCUAAUUCCGUGCCAGCAGCCGCGGUAAUACGGAGGAUGCGAGCGUUAUCCGGAUUUAUUGGGUUUAAAGGGUGCGUAGGCGGACUGUUCAGUCAGCGGUAAAAGCCCGGGGCUAAACCCCGGCGUGCCGUUGAAACUGGCUGGCUUGAGAUGGCGAGAGGUAUGCGGAAUGCGCGGUGUAGCGGUGAAAUGCUUAGAUAUUGCGCAGAACUACGAUUGCGAAGGCAGCAUACCGGCGGCGAUCUGACGCUGAGGCACGAAAGCGUGGGUAUCGAACAGGAUUAGAUACCCCUGUAGUC